CCUACGGGGCGCAGCAGUGAGGAAUAUUGGUCAAUGGUCGGGAGACUGAACCAGCCAAGCCGCGUGAGGGAUGAAGGUACAGAGUAUCGUAAACCUCUUUUGUCAGGGAACAAAGGCGGGGACGUGUCCCCGGAUGAGUGUACCUGAAGAAAAAGCAUCGGCUAACUCCGUGCCAGCAGCCGCGGUAAUACGGAGGAUGCGAGCGUUAUCCGGAUUUAUUGGGUUUAAAGGGUGCGCAGGCGGUCUGUUAAGUCAGCGGUCAAAGCCCGGGGCUCAACCCCGGACCGCCGUUGAAACUGGCAGUCGCGAGUUGAGGAGAAGUAUGCGGAAUGCGCGGUGUAGCGGUGAAAUGCAUAGAUAUCGCGCAGAACUCCGAUUGCGAAGGCAGCAUGCCGGCUCCACACUGACGCUGAGGCACGAAAGCGUGGGUAUCGAACAGGAUUAGAUACCCCAGUAGUC
rnacentral:rRNA from 1 species